UCCAAUUAAACUCACAAUCAAGAGUUAGGGCAAAGGGAAGCCAAUCCUAGAACAAAAACUCAGACUGUUUUACCAUUCACAGACCAUACUGACACAACUCUUGAUGUACUUCAGAAAGGAAAAGAAACCUCCGAAGGAAUACAAUCACAAUGAGGAGUAACUGGCAAGCAUGUGGAUAAAUCUGAACAAGCGCUGUGAUGUUCCAGAGUUACCCGACCCUCAGUGGAAUGGGCUGCUGAGGGUCAGGAGUGCAGGGAGCUGGCUGGGGAAAAUUUGGAAG
rnacentral:lncRNA from 1 species